rnacentral:rRNA from 1 species
UACGUAGGGCGCGAGCGUUGUCCGGAAUUAUUGGGCGUAAAGAGCUCGUAGGCAGCCUGUUGCGUCCGCUGUGAAAUCCCGGGGCUCAACCCUGGGCGUGCAGUGGAUACGGGCAGGCUGGAGGCAGGCAGGGGAGAACGGAAUUCCCGGUGUAGCGGUGAAAUGCGCAGAUAUCAGGAAGAACACCCGUGGCGAAAGCGGCUCUCUGGAACGGUACUGACGCUGAGACGCGAAAGCGUGGGGAGCGAACAGG